UCGGGAAGGUUGGCUCGCCGGGAGCGGGGUGGCUGUGCGCUCGUGCGGGCGCCGCGGCUCCCGGGCCGAGCCUCAGAGGCCCCGCGUGUGCUUGUCCGCCAGGGCCGCCGCCGCCGCAGCAGCCGGGGGUCCCGGAGGCCGGGCCGCCGUUUCCCGUGCCCGCCGCGGACAGCGGGCCCACCCGACGCAGCUGGGUGAGGUGAAGCUCACUGCAGCGUGUAGCAGCAGCAGCGUCCCACCACGAGGUGUAAGGUUGCAGCCCUGAGGGUCCCCAGUGUGAUGAGCUGACGACUCGUCUGCGAGCAGUGGCCUCCCACGGGGUGUUAGAGAACUGAGGGCUGGAGAAUGGUGAUCCGGCAAGAUCUUUCAGCCGCUCAGCCCAAGAGGCUGUAACCUCGGCUGAUCAGCCCUGCCGUGGCCGGAGCUGAAGUCCCCAGAGUUGGGGGGUGGCACCGUCAGUUUGGAUUCUGAUGGACUCUGAGAACUUCAGCGGCUCCAUCAUCUGGGGUAACAGCUUGGCUGAAACUUGCUCUACUUGCUGAGUACCAGGCCCUUCUUAGCACCAGAGCCAAGAAAUAAUGUUUUGACAUCUUUUUCUGGAACAGGCAUGUUUAGUAUUAGCUGUUAGAUUCAUGAGUUUUCCAACAUUGUUCCUUGCCAAACUGCCAAAGAGCUGAAAUGUAGAGCUUUGAAAUGUAUUUAUAGGUGAAUACAUUGUAGUAGGUUGUCAGUAAUUCUGGAGGGAGAACUGAGUUUCUUAACCUGGAAACUUCCUGAAGUUGUUGGGGACAUUGCAUGGGUACAAAUACAAAUAAAUAAAUACAAUAAAGAAUUG